UUUUAUGAGAGUUUGAUCCUGGCUCAGGAUGAACGCUAGCGGCGUGCCUUAAGCAUGCAAGUCGAGCGCCCCACUCUUUUUGGUUGUAAUCUGAUAAGCUUUGUUUAUGUAUUAUGUCUAUGUUUUAAAAAGCCUGAAGUAUAAAAGUCUUAAGAUUUAUAUUGGCUUUACGAAUAACUUAGAAGUAAGGCUAUUACAACAUAAUCAAAAAAACACAUUAUCUACAAGAUAUGGAAUUCCGUGGAAGUUAGUUUAUUAUGAAGCCUUUUUAAGUAAAAGGGAUGCAAUAAUUAGAGAAAAACGUUUAAAAACAGGGAGUAGUGCAAUUGGCUUUUUAAAACUUCGUAUAAAGAAGUCUUUAGUUGAUUACAAUUGAAAAGAGUGGGGAGCGGCAGACGGGUGAGGAUAACGUAGGAAUCUACCCUGAAGUGGGGAAUAACUCCGCGAAAGCGGGGCUAAUACCGCAUAGUCUCGUACGAAGCACGAGGAAAUUUGAAACUUCAAGCCGUCAAUUGACGGACCAAAUUGUAAACAAAAUCUAAGCUUAAGAUAUUUUGAAUUUCUUGGAUUUGUUUGAUUUUUGGGAUUUGGAAAUUUAGAUUUUCUCGUGCUUUGCACGAGUAAAGGGCGUAACUGCCCGCUUUAGGAGGAGCCUGCGUCCUAUCAGCUUGUUGGUAGGGUAAUGGCCUACCAAGGCGAUGACGGGUAGGGGGUGUGAGAGCACGGCCCCCCACAAGGACACUGAGAUACGGGUCCUACACCUACGGGUGGCAGCAACUGGGAAUCUUGCGCAAUGGGCGAAAGCCUGACGCAGCGACGCCGCGUGCGGGAUGAAGGCCUUCGGGUCGUAAACCGCUGUGGCAGGGGAAGAACCCCUCACCAUUUCUAAGGGAAAAUUUGGGUUAUUCAAAUCUUUGCUAGACGAAGUCGGCUUCGCCUACCUGAGUAUGAGUUUCCGAAAUAUUCACUGGAAAUGGUGAGGGGUGACGGUACCCUGCUAGAAAGCAUCUGCUAACUACGUGCCAGAAGCCUCGGUAAUACGUAGGAUGCAAGCGUUAUCCGGAUUUACUGGGCGUAAAGCGUGUCGUAGGUGGUAAUUCAAGUGUAUGGUGAAAGCUCUCGGCUUAACCGGGAGAUCGCUGUANNNNNNNNNNNNNNNNNNNNNNNNNNNNNNNNNNNNNNNNNNNNNNNNNNNNNNNNAAUGCGUUGAGAUCGAGAAGAACACCAAGGGCGAAGGCAGGCCUCUGGGAUACUCCUGACACUGAUGAACGAAAGCUAGGGGAGCGAAAGGGAUUAGAGACCCCUGUAGUCCUAGUCGUAAACAAUCCCUGCUAGAUAGCCGAGUCUGACUCGGUUGUCGUAAGCUAACGCGUUAAGCAGGGCGCCUGGGGAGUACGACCGCAAGGUUAAAACUCAAAGGAAUUGACGGGGAGGCGCACAACCAGUGGAGCAUGUGGUUCAAUUCGAUACGAAGCGUUAGACCUCACCUGGGUUUGACAUGUACCUGCAAAUCCCAAGAAAUUGGGACGCCUUCGAGGGUGGUACACAGGUGUUGCAUGGCUGUCGUCAGUUCGUGUCGUGAGACGUCCACUUAAGUGUGGCAACGAACGCAACCCGCAUCCUGUGUUAAAUAGUCACGGGAAACUGCCUCGCAUCAAGCGGGGAGGAAGGAGCGGACGAUGUCAAGUCAGCACGACUCUUACAUCCAGGGCCACACACAUCCUACAAUGGAGCCGACAAUGGGUUGCCAAACCGCGAGGUGGAGCUAAUCCCCAAACGGCUCCUCAGUUCAGAUUGCAGGCUGCAACUCGCCUGCAUGAAGUCGGAAUUGGUAGUAAUCGCGGGUCAGCAGACCGCGGUGAAUACGUUCUCGCCUCUUGUACAAAGAAAAUUGCGCCUUACGGCUAUUAUUUCUAUU
rnacentral:rRNA from 1 species